UACGAAGGGGGCUAGCGUUGUUCGGAAUUACUGGGCGUAAAGCGCGUGUAGGCUGCUCUGCAAGUCGGGUGUGAAAGCCCCGGGCUCAACCUGGGAAGUGCACUCGAAACUGCAGAGCUCGAGUCCUGGAGAGGAAGGCGGAAUUCUCGGUGUAGAGGUGAAAUUCGUAGAUAUCGAGAGGAACACCGGUGGCGAAGGCGGCCUUCUGGACAGUGACUGACGCUGAGACGCGAAAGCGUGGGGAGCAAACAGG
rnacentral:rRNA from 1 species